rnacentral:rRNA from 1 species
CCUACGGGUGGCAGCAGUGAGGAAUAUUGGUCAAUGGGCGCGAGCCUGAACCAGCCAAGUCGCGUGAGGGAUGACGGUCCUACGGAUUGUAAACCUCUUCUGCCGGGGAGCAAGCGUGCGUUCGUGAACGCGCGUCGAGAGUACCCGGAGAAAAAACAUCGGCUAACUCCGUGCCAGCCGCCGCGGUACUACGGAGGCUGCGAGCGUUCUCCGGAUUUAUUGGUGUUAAAGGGUGCGUAGGUGGGAUGCAACGUCUGCGGGAAGCAUGCGCUGCUCAGCGCAGUCGAGCCGUUGAAACUGGCGUUCUUGAGUGGGCGAGAGGUAUGCGGAAUGCGUGGUGUAGCGGUGAAAUGCAUAGAUAUCACGCAGAACUCCGAUUGCGAAGGCAGCAUACCGGCGCCCUACUGACGCUGAGGCACGAAAGCGUGGGUAUCGAACAGGAUUAGAUACCCCUGUAGUC